rnacentral:rRNA from 1 species
GAUGAACGCUGGCGGCGUGCCUAAUACAUGCAAGUCGAGCGAACGGACGAGAAGCUUGCUUUUCUGAUGUUAGCGGCGGACGGGUGAGUAACACGUGGAUAACCUACCUAUAAGACUGGGAUAACUUCGGGAAACCGGAGCUAAUACCGGAUAAUAUUUUGAACCGCAUGGUUCAAAAGUGAAAGACGGUCUUGCUGUCACUUAUAGAUGGAUCCGCGCUGCAUUAGCUAGUUGGUAAGGUAACGGCUUACCAAGGCAACGAUGCAUAGCCGACCUGAGAGGGUGAUCGGCCACACUGGAACUGAGACACGGUCCAGACUCCUACGGGAGGCAGCAGUAGGGAACCUUACGCAAUGGGCGAAAGCCUGACGGAGCAACGCCGCGUGAGUGAUGAAGGUCUUCGGAUCGUAAAACUCUGUUAUUAGGGAAGAACAUAUGUGUAAGUAACUGUGCACAUCUUGACGGUACCUAAUCAGAAAGCCACGGCUAACUACGUG